rnacentral:lncRNA from 1 species
UGUGUGUUUGAGGAAUUGGUGGAUUCGCUGAGUUGUUGGUUUCUUUCAAAACACGCUGUAGUUUGUUUUGUUUCCCGCGUAUUCGUCAGCUAUUAAGUUUUCAUCUGCACUCGGGAAAUUCGGGAUUUAUCCUUUACCAGCUCCCCAUAUGUAGAUUACUGAAGGUUUUUGUUUCUCAACCUAAUAUUGAAUUUGGUGGAUUUAAUUUCACAGGGUUGGCAGAGCAGUCAAGAGUAUGCAAGAAUUGGCAAGCCAAGGUGGAGGGCUACUAGAUAGAGACCUUUUAUCGAACAAUGGGGACUGGUCUGGAAUAGUGGCGAGCUUUGCUGUAAUGAAACGGUUAAGUGGCGGUCGUGACAAGGACAACAAACUGAGGUUUUCAAAAACAUCGAGUCUUGGGGAUUAUCAGACGUUGUUGUGGUCACUUUUUGAUGCAGGUAUGCUAUAUUUUAUCCUCUGCACUGGAUGUGGCUAUUUGUUUCUUUCGGUAAUUUCGCCUGACAGGACCAAAAUGCCUGAAAUUUCUGUUACAUAUUUUGUAUUUUGAAUCUGCUAUUGUUACUGCAAAGAAGUUAGAGCAAAAAACACGUUGACCUACCUGUCUCUACAGCUUGUCUCAGUUUCUUCUCUCUCUCUCUCUCUCUUUUUUUUUUUUUUUUUUUUUUUUUUUUUCAAAAAAAGAACUUAUCACCAUGAGACCUGCAGAUACCCAACACGAAGAUCGGGAAGUUAGGAAGUUCGUGCUUGCCUCUGGCCCAAAGCUUCCGGAAGAGGUUCAUGGAGCGCCACCAGAUAGCUUUGUAGCACAGCUUGCUGAAAUCAUGGCUGGAAUCAAAACUGAGCAAGGCAUGGGUGAAUUCUGGCUUGAGGUGAUAAAAGAGGUAUCAAUGCUCAACCGCACUUGGUCGUGAUAGUGACUGUAGAAACUGUCUAUUUACUCCUUGGGACUUUUCACAGAUGUGCUAGUUAAUGAUGCACCUUCUCUAUUCGAGUGUGUAGUGGUAAAUCUUUAGUUUAAAUAAACAGUUAUCUGAUUCAAUGACUAAUGAUAGAUUUUCGAGAUAAACUUGACAACUUCAAGUAACACAUAUAAUAUCCUCUAUGAUUCUAGUAUUCUCACAGAUGCUUUUCUUUUUACAUAUUUCCUUUUUAUCCCAAAUAGACCUUAAGUUUCAAUGCUAACAAUCGAGCAACAAUCUGAUAAUGUUCAAAAUGAGCAGUUUGAAAUACCCUCUUUUUUAUUUUUAUUUUUAUUUUUCCGUUGCUGCUGUUGGUAUGUUUCGCUUGGCUGCUAAUGACUUGCUGACUAAGCUUUGUCAUAUCUUUGGAUGAAGUUGCGUCGCCGGUGGAAAGA